AUGAACGCUGGCGGCAUGCCUUACACAUGCAAGUCGAACGGCAGCACGGGUGCUUGCACCUGGUGGCGAGUGGCGAACGGGUGAGUAAUACAUCGGAACAUGUCCUGUAGUGGGGGAUAGCCCGGCGAAAGCCGGAUUAAUACCGCAUACGAUCCACGGAUGAAAGCGGGGGACCUUCGGGCCUCGCGCUAUAGGGUUGGCCGAUGGCUGAUUAGCUAGUUGGUGGGGUAAAGGCCUACCAAGGCGACGAUCAGUAGCUGGUCUGAGAGGACGACCAGCCACACUGGGACUGAGACACGGCCCAGACUCCUACGGGAGGCAGCAGUGGGGAAUUUUGGACAAUGGGCGAAAGCCUGAUCCAGCAAUGCCGCGUGUGUGAAGAAGGCCUUCGGGUUGUAAAGCACUUUUGUCCGGAAAGAAAUCCUUGGCUCUAAUACAGUCGGGGGAUGACGGUACCGGAAGAAUAAGCACCGGCUAACUACGUG
rnacentral:rRNA from 1 species